GGGAAAUACUGAAAGCAGAAAGCAACGUAUCGACCUAGUUUAACUCCCCUUAGCCCGCUCCCUUCUGGCCGGAGCUCGUGUCCAGGAGCAGUUCCCACGUCCGUCUGUCUGUCCGCAGCUGCCUGCUCUCCGUCCCCGUCCCUUCCCCCCGCCGCCCGUCAGACAAAGGCAGAACGACACGUUACCUCAAUGAGAACCAGGAUGUUUAGGAGAAGAGAAGCA
rnacentral:lncRNA from 1 species